UACGUAGGGUGCGAGCGUUGUCCGGAAUUAUUGGGCGUAAAGAGCUUGUAGGCGGUUUGUCGCGUCUGCUGUGAAAACCCGGGGCUCAACCCCGGGCCUGCAUUCGAUACGGGCAGACUAGAGUUCGGUAGGGGAGUCUGGAAUUCCUGGUGUAGCGGUGAAAUGCGCAGAUAUCAGGAGGAACACCGGUGGCGAAGGCGGGACUCUGGGCCGAUACUGACGCUGAGGAGCGAAAGCGUGGGGAGCAAACAGG
rnacentral:rRNA from 1 species